UACCCGCUGAACUUAAGCAUAUCAAUAAGCGGAGGAAAAGAAACUAACUAGGAUGCCCUUAGUAACGGCGAGCGAACCGGGCAAAGCCCAACUUGGAAAUCUCCAGCCUCCGGCUGGCGAAUUGUAGUCUAGAGAAGUGCUCUCUGCGCCAGUCCGGCCCCAAGUCCCCUGGAAAGGGGCGUCAGAGAGGGUGAGAACCCCGUUGCGACCGGAUCCUGGUGCUCCACGAGACGCUUUCGCAGAGUCGGGUUGUUUGGGAAUGCAGCCCAAAGCAGGUGGUAAAUCCCAUCUAAGGCUAAAUACAGACGGGAGACCGAUAGCGAACAAGUACCGCGAGGGAAAGAUGGAAAGAACUUUGAAAAGAGAGUUAAAAAUUGCUUGAAAUUGUUGAGAGGGAAGUGAUUGGAUCCUACGGGUGCGCCCAGGCACACGCCUGCCUAACGGUUGGCUGAAUGCGCUGGGUGCUGGUCAGCAUGGGUUGGCCGGGCGGGACAAACCCGGGGAUUGCUACCCCGGCUAUGUCGCCUGGCCGACUGAGGAAAGAAGGGCGCUCU
rnacentral:rRNA from 1 species